rnacentral:rRNA from 1 species
CAGGAUUAGAUACCCUGGUAGUCCACGCCGUAAACGAUGUCGACUUGGAGGUUGUGCCCUUGAGGCGUGGCUUCCGGAGCUAACGCGUUAAGUCGACCGCCUGGGGAGUACGGCCGCAAGGUUAAAACUCAAAUGAAUUGACGGGGGCCCGCACAAGCGGUGGAGCAUGUGGUUUAAUUCGAUGCAACGCGAAGAACCUUACCUGGUCUUGACAUCCACAGAACUUUCCAGAGAUGGAUUGGUGCCUUCGGGAACUGUGAGACAGGUGCUGCAUGGCUGUCGUCAGCUCGUGUUGUGAAAUGUUGGGUUAAGUCCCGCGACGAGCGCAACCCUUAUCCUUUGUUGCCAGCGGUCCGGCCGGGAACUCAAAGGAGACUGCCAGUGAUAAACUGGAGGAAGGUGGGGAUGACGUCAAGUCAUCAUGGCCCUUACGACCAGGGCUACACACGUGCUACAAUGGCGCAUACAAAGAGAAGCGACCUCGCGAGAGCAAGCGGACCUCAUAAAGUGCGUCGUAGUCCGGAUUGGAGUCUGCAACUCGACUCCAUGAAGUCGGAAUCGCUAGUAAUCGUGGAUCAGAAUGCCACGGUGAAUACGUUCCCGGGCCUUGUACACACCGCCCGUCACACCAUGGGAGUGGGUUGCAAAAGAAGUAGGUAGCUUAACCUUCGGGAGGGCGCUUACCACUUUGUGAUUCAUGACUGGGGUGAAGUCGUAACAAGGUAACC